AAUAGCGUAUAUUAAAGUUGCUGCAGUUAAAAAGCUCGUAGUUGGAUUCCUGGCUUGAAACAUUUUGCCGGCCGCGGUUUCGCGUGUUAGUGCUUGAUGUUCUGGCCAUCCUUCCAAUCGCUAUUCACAUUUCUUCAUUGAUGUGUGAGUGGUAUUGGAUCUUUUACUUUGAACAAAUUAGAGUGUUUCAAGCAGGCUUUAUGCUAUGAAUACAUUAGCAUGGAAUAAUAAUUUAGGACUUCGGUUCUAUUUUGUUGGUUUCUAGGACUGAAGUAAUGAUUGAUAGGGAUAGUUGGGGGUGCUAGUAUUCAGCGGCCAGAGGUGAAAUUCUCGGAUUCGCUGAAGACUAACUUAUGCGAAAGCAUUCACCAAGGAUGUCUUCUUUAAUCAAGAACGAAAGUUGGGGGAUCGAAGACGAUCAGAUACCGUCGUAGUCUCAACCAUAAACUAUGCCGACUAGGGAUGAGUGAACGUUGCAUUUUCGACUUCAUUCGCACCUUAUGAGAAAUCAAAGUCUUUGGGUUCCGGGGGGAGUAUGGUCGCAAGGCUGAAACUUAAAGGAAUUGACGGAAGGGCACCACCAGGAGUGGAGCCUGCGGCUUAAUUUGACUCAACACGGGAAAACUUACCAGGUCCAGACACAGUAAGGAUUGACAGAUUGAAGAUCUUUCUUGAU
rnacentral:precursor_RNA from 1 species